UAUGUAUAUUAAAAUUAUAUAUUUAAAAGUUGUAUUUAAUUACCUUGGAAGUCACUAGUAUCAGCGACAAUUGUUGUAAUUUCCUUUAAUUGUGUUAAUGAACUCGUCAUCUUGACUUUCUUCGAUUGAGGCUCACUCAUUCUUAUCGAUACUUUUAUAUACUGGAGAUCGAAAUUUCUGCUUCUUAUACUGGAAUAAUCAGCAUAUACGAUAUACACGAUUGCCAACAUGCAGCUUAAUUUAGUUUACAUCAAACUUUAUCAGUUAGACAAUGUUUAUCAAUAAAUGCAGACUUUGGUUGAUGACUAUACAUAAAAAUUGAACAUAUUACUAAAAUGGCACCUAUAGAAAACUGAAAACUCAAAUUAAAAUUAAAAAGAUAUAUUGAAGCUACACAAGAAAUUAUAAUAGCUAAGGAUGUGGCAAAACCUUUAAGUAUAUUAUCUGCAUAUUUAACCACCAUUGCAACAAUGAGACCUCCACCUGCUUGAAGUACAAUUAGAUAACAAAUAAAUAAAUCAUAGCCAAAGAAAAAACCUUGUUUCUGUAACAUUUCACCAUCAUUUACAAAACAUGUAAUUAAUCCAAAAGGUAAAGAUAAUAAACUUAAUUGAAUGUUUCUCA